rnacentral:rRNA from 1 species
AACGAACGCUGGCGGCAUGCCUAACACAUGCAAGUCGAACGGGAUCCUGGCUUCGGCCAGGUGAGAGUGGCGGACGGGUGAGUAACGCGUGGGAACCUGCCCAUUGGUCUGGGAUAACUGCGGGAAACUGCAGCUAAUAUCGGAUGUACCCGAGAGGGGAAAGAUUUAUCGCCGAUGGAGGGGCCCGCGUCAGAUUAGGUAGUUGGUGAGGUAACGGCUCACCAAGCCUACGAUCUGUAGCUGGUCUGAGAGGAUGAUCAGCCACACUGGGACUGAGAUACGGCCCAGACUCCUACGGGAGGCAGCAGUGGGAAUAUUGGACAAUGGGGGCAACCCUGAUCCAGCAAUGCCGCGUGAGUGAUGAUGGCCUUAGGGUUGUAAAGCUCUUUUACCAGGGACGAUGAUGACGGUACCUGGAGAAUAAGCCCCGGCUAACUUCGUGCCAGCAGCCGCGGUAAU